GACGAACGCUGGCGGCGUGCUUAACACAUGCAAGUCGAACGGAAAGGCCCUGCUUUUGUGGGGUGCUCGAGUGGCGAACGGGUGAGUAACACGUGAGUGACCUGCCCUUGACUUUGGAAUAACUUCAGGAAACUGGGGCUAAUACCGGAUAGGAGCUCCUGCUGCAUGGUGGGGGUUGGAAAGUUUCGGCGGUUGGGGAUGGACUCGCGGCUUAUCAGCUUGUUGGUGGGGUAGUGGCUUACCAAGGCUUUGACGGGUAGCCGGCCUGAGAGGGUGACCGGCCACAUUGGGACUGAGAUACGGCCCAGACUCCUACGGGAGGCAGCAGUGGGGAAUAUUGCACAAUGGGCGGAAGCCUGAUGCAGCAACGCCGCGUGCGGGAUGACGGCCUUCGGGUUGUAAACCGCUUUCGCCUGUGACGAAGCGUGAGUGACGGUAAUGGGUAAAGAAGCACCGGCUAACUACGUG
rnacentral:rRNA from 1 species